AUUGAACGCUGGCGGCAGGCCUAACACAUGCAAGUCGGACGGUAGCACAGAGGAGCUUGCUCCUCGGGUGACGAGUGGCGGACGGGUGAGUAAUGUCUGGGGAUCUGCCCGAUAGAGGGGGAUAACCACUGGAAACGGUGGCUAAUACCGCAUAACGUCGCAAGACCAAAGAGGGGGACCUUCGGGCCUCUCACUAUCGGAUGAACCCAGAUGGGAUUAGCUAGUAGGCGGGGUAACGGCCCACCUAGGCGACGAUCCCUAGCUGGUCUGAGAGGAUGACCAGCCACACUGGAACUGAGACACGGUCCAGACUCCUACGGGAGGCAGCAGUGGGAAAUAUUGCACAAUGGGCGCAAGCCUGAUGCAGCCAUGCCGCGUGUAUGAAGAAGGCCUUCGGGUUGUAAAGUACUUUCAGCGGGGAGGAAGGCGAUAAGGUUAAUAACCUUGUCGAUUGACGUUACCCGCAGAAGAAGCACCGGCUAACUCCGUGCCAGCCGCCGCCGUAACAC
rnacentral:rRNA from 1 species